rnacentral:tRNA from 1 species
CGGAAUAUAGUUCAAUGGUAGAACGUUUGAUGAUCAGAAGAUGCAGGUUCGAUUCCUGAUAUUCCGG